UGAAAAUACAACAAGAAGACCAGAGCCAGGAAGAGGCCCUCGGCAGACACCACAUCUGUCUCUGGAUUUUUGAUCUCCCGAAUACUGAGAAUCAUGGCAUAUUUCCAAAGGAGGACGAGUCCAUCACAGCUUACAGGAGACAAGUGUCUACACCGAGGUUCUCAAGUCCAACUUGACUGACAGUCGGUACUGGAGGCACUGGGUUUCCUGACCCCAGAAGCAGGGGAAACAGAAGCCAACCGGAAAUCACUCUUUCUACCCUUCGGACAACAUUAGGACCUUGGAAAGUGGCACACAGACCAAUCCCGAUUUGAUAGGAAUUGCCCAAUGGCACAGGAGGGCUGAGAGGUGGCCGUCUCGAGAAGAUAUUUGGAGGCUUGUACCAUGAAAUGUUAUUAUCCACCCUAUUUUAGAGAGGAAGAAAUGUAAGCUCUAGUAAAUAUAUAAUUACCUCAGAUCACUCAACUUGAGCUAGCAGAGUAGGGGGCGGGGGGCAGGGUUGAAAACCAGACAAAGAGACCCCAGACCACAUUCUUUUAUUGCAUAGCCCUGGACCCUGGCCUCAACCAUAGACAUUUUUUUCUCCUAACUUCCUUUUACCCCCACCGCAUGAAAAAUUGCAAAUGAGAUGUAUUUCCUUUCAUUUAGACCGUUUCAAAAGCCAUUGUUACUUAAGUGAGGAGGUUGGAGGGCUUCCAAAGACUGAAAUAUACAGAAAACAUCUGGCAGUGUUCUCUAACACAUACACACUUACGAGCAUACCACAGGCAGACCAGGAAGAGCCAGAGCAGAUGCCAUCUCAAAGCUUGACUUUUGAAUACAAGGCAGAGUAGGUCAUGGGUGAGCCGUCUGUGAAACUCUCUCUGUGCAGGAUUGUUUGGGUCAUUGCUGUCCCAUGAAAACAAGUGGGCUAAUUUGAGCAAUAGUUUGCUCAACUACAUCUGUAAGAUUAGGUCCUUAGAAAACCAGGGCCAGAAAGAGAAA